AUGAAGAACGUAGUGAAAUGCGAUAAGUAAUGUGAAUUGCAGAAUUCAGUGAAUCAUCGAAUCUUUGAACGCACAUUGCGCCCGCCAGUAUUCUGGCGGGCAUGCCUGUCUGAGCGUCAUUUCAACCCUCAUGCCCCUAGGGCGUGGUGUUGGGGAUCGGCCAAAGCCCGCGAGGGACGGCCGGCCCCUAAAUCUAGUGGCGGACCCGUCGUGGCCUCCUCUGCGAAGUAGUGAUAUUCCGCAUCGGAGAGCGAUGAGCCCCUGCCGUUAAACCCCCAACUUUCCAAGGUUGACCUCAGAUCAGGUAGGAAUACCCGCUGAACUUAAGCAUAUCAAUAAGCGGAGGA
rnacentral:misc_RNA from 1 species